GGAGGGGGACGGCAGAGUCGGAGGGCGGCGGCUCGACUUUCAAUCCCCACCCACUUCUCUCAGUCCAGGAAUGACUUCACGCUUGCUGCCUCUCGCUCGGCUAAUACACGGCAGAAGCUUAACCGUCGUCUUUGCAGGCAGGGGAGACGGGGCCUCGAGUCUCCCGCUCUCCCCCGCUGGCUCGGUUUUAACUCUUCUCUUCUCCAAAGGCGAGGAUGAUGCCCAAGUUGGGGUUUCCACGGCCAAUGGGGAAGAAGAGGUGGGGGGGGCCCUCGUCGCGCCUCAUGUGACCGUGCAACUCCCCCCCCCGCCCUCCACCCGGUCUUCUUUUCACAUGGGCAGUAUUCAGUUCCACAAUUCGGACAAGCCGGAGUGAGCGGUGGCCGUGGGACAGGCGAGAUGCCCGCUGACUUGACCCACACUUUUCCUUCUCCGUUUCUUCCCUGCGACGCACGUCCGCCUGCUUUCCUGCCUUCUCGCCGGGCCUUCUUUCCCAGGACCGCAUCAGCAAAGUGGGAUUCUGCAUCUUUGGUAUUCUUCUCGCGCCACCUUCAACUCCGACGCCCGAGUGACUUUGCUCCGCCGCGGUGGGGGAACGUUGAAUGGAGAGACCCAGAUGAGUAACUAAAUUAACUCAAGAUAUCUUCUGUAUCUACCAAAAAGGAAAACAGAUGAGGCAUGUUAGCAGAAUUCCAAGAUUGCCUGCCAAGCUUUAAUAUUUUUGGGAAGUACAAGAGAACGAUUUAAAGAGCUUGGAGCUGAAAAAAAAGGAGAAUGAUACUUCGCACAAAUAGGAGUUUCUACCAACAGAUGUACGGCUAUAACUCUAAUGAAACAUUGGUUAGAAACUUCAUGACAGGCACAUUGGAAGCUGGGCGAGCACAGGUUUAUUCAUAAUUCUGGAGUCAAGUAGAUGUCAUUUGUAUCGCUCCCAAUUUCUGUUUUUAUGAGAUGUAUGGUUUUUGUAAUUUUACUGUAGUUAUGAAUUGCUUAAAGUUGUGCUAAAACAUGAUUAGCCCAGCAGAUAGACUGAUUUCAGUAUGAGAGUCCUAAAAAGCUAUUUCUCAAUUCUGCUGAAAUCAAUUGGACUUAACUUUGGCUAGAACAAAUUAUCCUCACCUAAAGCAUGUAGUGUAUUAAAUAAUAAAGAACAAAUCAGAUAUUGUUCAGACACUGGUGGAGAUUUAUGACAUUCUGCUUUGAUUAUGUAACAUUAGCAAACAUUCUAUUUACUAUACUAAAAUAAUCAAAACGUAUUUAAAUAAACUAACAGUAUUCGUUUUGACCUUCAGCCUCCUAUGUAAGAGCAAAGAUUGUUUCUUUCUAAUUAACAGGCAUAAAUAUGCCACUUGGCAUAACUGUUAAAUAUUCUGUGCCAUAUAGCAUUCCUGUUUUCAAUUUAGGUCAAACUAUCAGGAUGAUGAAAAGAAUCGAAGAUGGAAGAUGAGAUGCUCUAUUUCACAUAUACGCCCUCUGGAAGGGCUGGCAAAGGCAACCACUUAAAUUAAGCUCAGGUCAUCAGACAAGAUAUUUAAUCUAUUCCUAAGACAGACAACUUCUACAGCUAAAAUCCCUAUGGCCUUUAAAGCAACACAAUGAACUACUUUGUCGUGUACUCCUGUCAAGUCACGUUAGGCUCCUUGGUUUUUAGAAGUGAUAUUUCAUGUACUCUUAUGAGCAAAUUGCUCAGAGCAAGAAAAAGUGUUUUGGUUUAUUUAUGACCUACUAACCUUAAAUAAAGAAAAAGAAGAAGUUUCAGCCUAUGUGAAUGUUCUCAGAAGCCUGGAGAUAUGAAACGUACAUAAAAUAAAUCUGGCAUUUGUAGCACAGAGUAGCAAAAGGCACACAUGGCCAAUCCACGGGGUUUCUUUAAAAAAAAGAAGAUGGAAACCAGAUGAUGGAAGAAGAAGAAGGGGUGAAAGUCACUCUUAACCAAUACGUAAUAUUGGUUUAGAAGAAAGCAGAGAGUUUCAGAUUGUAUUCAAGGUGAGAAGUAAACAGAAGAAUGGAUGGUAAUACUGAGCUUUCAAAUAUGUUAUUAGUAAAAAGAAAUGGAAAUGAAAAGCAGCCAGCUCUAUUGUUAGGAAAAACAAUCUCAAGAAUGACAACUAAGGAACUCAUUUGCCUGAUUGAUAUCAUGGAAGUAAAAUAAUAAACUGGGGAAGGGAGAAACUAUAGGAAGAAGAAAAUAAGAAUAAAUGUAUAGAAAGGAAGAAUAUAAUAGCAAUAGCACAUGGACUUCAUCUAUACAGCUUUACUGCUCUCUCUGAGUAGUUUAUAAAUGUCAGUCAUGAAUCAGGAUCUAUUCAUGUGGCUCUUGGUGAAUAAUGCAGACACAUUUUAAAAGCCUACACAUAAUAAUAAAAGUUUUGUCUGUUUCUUUAGCUGAUUUACGUAGUCUUGGUAGUAACCAGAGCAAGAGAGAAAAAAUAAUCGGGAACUCUCCCUAGUCUCUUAGUGAAGGCAAUACUAUUUUGUUUCAUUUUGGAUAAGGAACCAAAAAUAACCUAUUUUUCAUUGGACAUUUUAAAGAAAAUGGACAGGAAAAGGCAGGAAAUAAAAUUAUUACAAAUUAUUCAAAAACCAAGUAUUUUAAAAUGUAGAGCCUAUUGGUAACUAUUUGUAAAGUUUAAAUGCAUUGUAUAUAGUGCAUCAUUCUUAAACUGCUGACAUAAGUAACUGAAUAAAAUUCUACUUUGUGAGUUCAAUCCAUAUUACUAAGAAUUUGUUUUGAUUCAUAUAGCUCAUAACAUUGAAAUAUAAAUUCUGUACAAAGAUAAACUCAAAUUUUGGAUAUGAUACCAUUAUAGUACAUAUAUGGAUGGUUUCCAGAUUGAAUUUAAAUCUGUGUCAAAUUCACAAUUAUUUUAGACAUCAAAGCAUACUCCCAGAUAUUGACUAAGCAUUCUUCCAUUGAAGGGAUCAGGUGACCUUUCCAGAAAGAGCAGUGUAAUGUCCUUGCAACAAUUAUAUGCUAAUUCGGUAUACUCAAGAAGAAAAAUGUUUUGGUAAAGUUUAUGAAGUAUUCAUAGGUUGAAACGAGAAUUCAGUUGUUAAGAUUUGUUUCAUUCUAGCCUAAAUCGUUUAUAGAAUUAUUGAACUUUAUGAUUGCAUGAAAGAAUGAAUGUCAGGAGGCAAGCCCGUUGCCUUCAAAUUUGCAUUUGCCUUAGGUAUAAUUAGGCAAUAAUAAUAAUACUGUCAUAUAUUAAUUGCAAAAAUGUAUAUACAAGAAUAAAUGCAUGAGUAUUACAAGAGUUACAGAUGUCAAUUUGGAGCCAGUAUUGUAACAGUUGUGUCAUUUUUUUAAGUCAUGGAUGAUACUUAUAAUUUUGAUUUUACUUUUGAUUUAUUUUAUUUUAAUAGACACAUUGUUCUGGUGUAAUAUUUUUCUUCAGGGAUUUAUGGAUAUUUUUCUCUAUAUUUAAAGUCCUCAGACAGGGAAAGUUUAGAGCAUUAAAUAUAGUACAGCAGUGCUUAUGUUGAGAAUUCCUCAGUAGAUUGAUUUGAUGAAUAAAUGUGAUGGAAACAGUGAUUUUUAAGCAGAAUUAAUCUACCAAAUUGAAAAUAAUGUCUUUUUUUCCCCUUCUCUUUAGACAUUUAAGGAUGGAUCCUGUGAAGUCUUUGGAAUUCUGUUCCUUUUGGUUGCUUCAGUGAACAUUCAACGCUGUCGGUGAGUUUGGGAUUAAAGUGAAAACCAUCGACCGUUGAUUGUACCCUCCAGCUAACCAUCCUACUCAUUGCUUCAUACUUUCAGAAUUUCAUUGAAGACAGCCAUAAAGCCAAUACCCAAGAUGAUUGGUUUGUGUCUUCCCUUGCAGAAUUUCACUUAGAUCUACAAAAAAAGGCCACAAUCAACAUUCAUUGCUGUCGGUGGGUUUAACUUUGUUGACAAGCUCACUGAACAAUGAAUGCAACUGUGGCCCCACUUUUUGCAGUCAUAGCCAAGAAGAAUAUUACUUUUGAAAGUAGCACCUGAAGUGGAUGUCUUUGGCUGAAAGCUUUGGAUCAAGAGACUGAGUUACUUUCCAGCUGUGUGCUUAAAAUACUUGCUUCUGUUUAUGUUUGCUUGUCUGAUGAAGUUAGGGAGUCAGGAAAUACAAAAUGCUAUCCGUGGCAUUUCAAUUAGGAUAUAACACAAAAAUAUGUUCUUUUUCUCUACUCAUUGUUAGCUGGAUUACAGGUCCUCAAGCAAAAAUAAACAUAUCAAAUUGAGGGAUAAAACGAACUUAUCCAACUUUGGUUUGAUUAAACCCAGUAAGUUUUAUAGAACAAAUGAUUAUUGCUAAAAUCAGCUUUUCAUUCUUCUGCAUCAAAAUACAUACCUGAUCCCUAUAUUUCCUAGCUUUGUUACAUGUCCAAAAUGAAAAAAUAUUCCCUCAGAUAACAGAACAGAACAUAAUAGAAUAGAAUAGGACCUUAGAGGUCUUCUAGUCCAGCCUGCUGCUCAAGCAGGAGAACCUAUACCAUCUCAGACAGGU